rnacentral:rRNA from 1 species
UGAUCCUGGCUCAGGAUGAACGCUAGCUACAGGCUUAACACAUGCAAGUCGAGGGGCAGCAUCAUCAAAGCUUGCUUUGAUGGAUGGCGACCGGCGCACGGGUGAGUAACACGUAUCCAACCUGCCGACAACACUGGGAUAGCCUUUCGAAAGAAAGAUUAAUACCGGAUGGCAUAGUUUUCCCGCAUGGGAUGAUUAUUAAAGAAUUUCGGUUGUCGAUGGGGAUGCGCU